rnacentral:rRNA from 1 species
AGUGGCGGACCGGUGAGGAAUACAUCGGAAUCUACUUUUUCGUGGGGGAUAACGUAGGGAAACUUACGCUAAUACCGCAUACGACCUACGGGUGAAAGCAGGGGAUCUUCGGACCUUGCGCGAUUGAAUGAGCCGAUGUCGGAUUAGCUAGUUGGCGGGGUAAAGGCCCACCAAGGCGACGAUCCGUAGCUGGUCUGAGAGGAUGAUCAGCCACACUGGAACUGAGACACGGUCCAGACUCCUACGGGAGGCAGCAGUGGGGAAUAUUGGACAAUGGGCGCAAGCCUGAUCCAGCCAUACCGCGUGGGUGAAGAAGGCCUUCGGGUUGUAAAGCCCUUUUGUUGGGAAAGAAAUCCAGCUGGUUAAUACCCGGUUGGGAUGACGGUACCCAAAGAAUAAGCACCGGCUAACUUCGUGCCAGCAGCCGCGGUAAUACGAAGGGUGCAAGCGUUACUCGGAAUUACUGGGCGUAAAGCGUGCGUAGGUGGUUGUUUAAGUCUGUUGUGAAAGCCCUGGGCUCAACCUGGGAACUGCAGUGGAAACUGGACGACUAGAGUG